rnacentral:rRNA from 3 species
UUCGCAAUGCCCGAAAGGGUGACGAAGCGACGCCGCGUGGGUGAGGAAGGCCUUCGGGUUGUAAAGCCCUGUCAGGAGUUAAGAAAUGUAAGUGUGCUAAUAUCGCAUUUACUUGACGAAGGCUCCAAAGGAAGUCACGGCUAACUCUGUGCCAGCAGCCGCGGUAAUACAGAGGUGGCAAGCGUUGUUCGGAAUUAUUGGGCGUAAAGAGCACGUAGGUGGGUUUGUAAGUCAGAUGUGAAAGCCUCCUGUUCAACGGGAGAAUUGCAUCUGAAACUACUGAUCUUGAGUAUAGGAGGGGAGAAUGGAACUUCUGGUGGAGCGGUGAAAUGCGUAGAUAUCAGAAGGAACGCCGGCGGCGAAAGCGAUUCUCUGGCCUAUUACUGACACUCAGUGUGCGAAAGCUAGGGGAGCAAACGGGAUUAGAUACCCCGGUAGUCCUAGCUGUAAACGAUGGGCACUAAGUAGAGGGGUUUU